AAUUUCAAAUCCAACAAAGUCUGGCUU
rnacentral:misc_RNA from 1 species